ensembl:ribozyme RNase_MRP RNase MRP
UGUCAUUCUGAUGACUUCCUUUUGGGUAGUUUCCUUGCUUCCUCUGUUACUUACUUUUGUUAGGAAAUCUGGGGACUCAAAAACUGGUUAGACAACUGAGAAUUCUGAUUCCUUCUUGUCCGCUGUUGAUGUUUCGCCUACUGGCAUCUGCAUCUGCUGCCUUGUACCUUGUACCACUUUCCUGGUGAACUCCUCAGCAUGAGCAGCGAAGGAAAGAGGUUAAGAAGGACAGUUCCCUGCUCUCUGGGACAGGGAAGCUGAGCAGCGUGUUGCGGGACAUCAUCUGUCAGGUGUCACAGUGACGCAGGCAGUGUGCACAUCGGUGCGCACCAACCAAAUGGGGCUCAUUCUCAGCGUGGC